AUUACCUUAGUUUGCAUAUUAACGUAUCAGGCAAGAUCGUAUGAAUUUUCUAUUUUCCAAAAAGAUAGAGUAGGCGUUUUUGCUGAGUGACCUUCUUCUUCUUCCUCCAAAUCGUAUACACAUUAAUCCCGCUCUCUACUGCUUCUGCGUUUUGAGAUUCGAAAAAUGGAGGAGGAAAGUUCCAAUUGCAUCGACAACGAGAGGGAUCUCAUCCGCAACAUCUGCAUCCUAGCGCACGUCGACCACGGCAAGACCACCCUCGCCGACCACCUCAUCGCCGCCGCGGGCGGCGGCGUCGUCCACCCAAAGCUCGCCGGCCGCGUCCGCUUCAUGGACUACCUGGACGAGGAGCAGCGCCGCGCCAUCACGAUGAAGAGCUCCUCCAUCCUCCUCCGCUAUGCCGGCCGCUACGCGGUGAACCUCAUCGACUCCCCCGGCCACAUCGACUUCUGCAGCGAGGUCUCCACCGCCGCCCGACUCAGCGACGGCGCCCUCCUCCUCGUCGACGCCGUCGAAGGCGUCCACAUCCAGACCCACGCCGUCCUCCGCCAGUGCUGGAUCGAGCGCCUCACCCCCUGCCUCGUCCUCAACAAACUCGACCGCUUAAUCACCGAGCUCAAACUUACCCCCUCUGAGGCCUACACGCGCCUCUUACGAAUCGUUCACGAGGUCAACGGAAUAGUCAGCGCUUAUAAAUCCGAAAAGUAUCUCACCGACGUGGAUUCCCUCCUCGCCGGAACCGGCAACGGCACCACCACCGGCGAGACCCUCGAGGACUACGAUGAUAACGAGGAUGUUUUUCAGCCGCAGAAAGGUAAUGUUAUAUUCGCAUGCGCUUUAGAUGGUUGGGGAUUUGGGAUUCGUGAGUUUGCGGAGAUUUAUGCUUCUAAGCUUGGGGCGAGUGUGAAUGCCUUGCUGAGGGCGUUGUGGGGACAGAGGUAUUAUAACCCUAAGACGAAGAUGAUUGUUGGGAAGAAAGGGGUUGGGGGGAAUAAGAAGCCUAUGUUUGUUCAGUUUGUGUUGGAGCCCUUGUGGCAGGUGUAUCAGGGGGCCUUGGAAGGGGAUAAGGGGCUGGUGGAGAAGGUUAUUAGGACCUUUAGUUUGUCGGUGCCGCAGCGGGAGCUGCAGAACAAGGAUGUCAAGGUUGUGCUGCAGGCGGUUAUGAGCCGCUGGCUUCCGCUUUCGGAGGCGGUUUUGUCCAUGGUGGUUAGGUGUUUGCCGGACCCGGUGACGGCGCAGGCAUUUAGGAUAUCCAGGUUGAUUCCCAAGAAGGAGGUUAUUGGGGAUGUGGAGGGGGUUGAGGGUUUGGUGGAGGAGGCGGAGUUGGCGAGGAAUUCGGUGGAGGAGUGUGAUUGUCGGGACGAGGCUCCUUGUGUGGCUUUUGUGUCCAAGAUGUUUGCUGUUCCGGUUAAGAUGCUGCCUGGACACAGGGUGGAGGUUGGCAAUGGUUAUGGUGAUGAAGGAGAGAGUGAGUCGGAUGAGUGUUUUUUGGCGUUUGCUAGGAUUUUUAGUGGGGUUUUGCAUGCUGGGCAGAGAAUUUUUGUGCUUUCUGCAUUGUAUGAUCCGGUGAAAGGGGAGUCGAUGCAGAAGCAUAUUCAGGAGGCUGAGUUGAAAUCCCUGUAUUUGAUGAUGGGGCAAGGGUUGAAAGUAGUGACAUCUGCCAGGGCUGGGAAUAUUGUUGCCAUUGCAGGCCUUGGGCAGCAUAUAUUGAAGAGUGCUACUCUUUCUUCUACUAAGAACUGUUGGCCUUUUUCGAGUAUGGCAUUCCAAGUUGCUCCAACUUUGAGAGUUGCAAUUGAGCCGUCUGAUCCUGCUGAUGUGGGUGCAUUGCUCAAAGGCUUGAGGCUUUUGAAUCGAGCAGAUCCGUUUGUUGAGGUCACCGUGUCUGGAAGGGGAGAGCAUGUUCUUGCUGCUGCUGGGGAAGUUCAUCUUGAGAGAUGCAUAAAGGAUUUAAAGGAGAGGUUUGCCAAGGUAAGCUUGGAGGUCUCUCCGCCUCUCGUGUCCUACAAAGAAACCAUUGAGGGAGACGUAUUGAACGUGAUGGAAAAUUUGAAAGUUCUUAGCAGGAGAUCAUCAGAUUAUGUUGAAAAAACAACACCCAAUGGAAGAUGUGUUGUUCGGGUGCAGGUGAUGAAACUUCUACCUUCUUUGACGAAGGUGCUCGAUGAAAGCUCUGAUUUACUUGGAGAUAUUAUUGGAGUAAAGUCGGGGCAAAGACCGAGUAUUCUUGAAAACGAUAACCCAGUUGAAGUGCUAAAAAAACGCAUAUUGGAUGCAGUGGAGGGUGAUAUUUUGAGCAGGAAUGAAAAUGACAAGGACCAUGCUGAGAAAUGUAAAUUGAAGUGGCUAAAGAUUUUGAGGAGGAUAUGGGCACUUGGACCAAGGCAAAUUGGUCCGAACCUUCUCUUUACUCCUGAUAUUAAAGCACAAAGCACCAAUAGCUCUGUCUUAAUACGUGGUUCUCCUCGCAUAUCAGAAAGGUUGGGCUUUGUGGCCGAUUCUAGUAUCAAUGACUCAGUUGAUGAGACGUCUUCAAAUGCAAACUCAGCUUUAUACAUGGAUGCCGAGCACCUUGAGAGUAGUGUUAUAUCUGGUUUCCAAUUGGCCACUUCAGCUGGACCCUUGUGUGAUGAACCUAUGUGGGGUUUGGCAUUUGUCGUUGAGGCACGGUUAUCUCCAUUUCCAGGACAGCAUGAUGAAUCUGAAACGCACCAACAAUCGGAGCAGUACGGCAUAUUUGCAGGGCAGGUAAUUGCAACUGUCAAAGAUGCUUGUAGAGCAGCUGUGGUUCAGAAUAAACCACGGCUGGUGGAAGCAAUGUAUUUUUGUGAAUUGAAUACACCUACUGAAUAUUUGGGUCCCAUGUAUGCUGUACUUUCCCGAAGACGGGCCCGAGUAUUGAAGGAAGAGAUGCAAGAAGGUUCCCCUUUCUUCACUGUGCAUGCGUAUCUUCCUGUUUCUGAGAGCUUUGGUUUUGCGGAUGAGCUUAGAAGGUGGACUUCUGGUGCCGCAAGUGCACUUCUUGUCCUUAGCCACUGGGAAGCACUUCCUGAGGAUCCUUUCUUUGUACCUAAAACGGAAGAGGAAAUUGAAGAGUUUGGAGAUGGUUCUAGUGUUCUUCCAAAUACGGCAAGAAAAUUGAUUAAUGCAGUCAGACGGCGUAAGGGCCUUCCUGUGGAGGAAAAGGUAGUGCAGCAUGGAACAAAGCAGAGGACACUGGCUCGUAAAGUCUGAUACUUUUCAUUCCUUAGCUGUGAAGAGAACAUGUAGUUGUUGAAUGUGUUUGUAGGUCAUACUUCAUUUAUUGUACCAUUAGGAACAAUUUUUCAGCAUGAGUUUAUUUUUAUAUAGCUUCACCAAAGUUUGAAAUUAUAUUUUGAGUAAUCUAUAUUGUCUCAUUUCAA